AUUCAGCUGACGAGUCCCAAAUAGGACGAAACGCGCAUCCUAGAU
rnacentral:hammerhead_ribozyme from 1 species